rnacentral:rRNA from 1 species
CCUACGGGAGGCAGCAGUCGGGAAUAUUGCGCAAUGGAGGAAACUCUGACGCAGUGACGCCGCGUGCAGGAAGAAGGUUCUCGGAUUGGAAACUGCUUUAGACAGGGAAGAAAAAAGAUAGUACCUGUAGUAUAAGCUCCUGCUAACUACGUGCAAGCAGCCGCGGUAAUACGGAGGGAGCAAGCGUUAUCCGGAUUUAUUGGGUGUAAAGGGUGCGUAAGCGGAGAAGCAAGUUAGUUGUGAAAUCUCUCGGCUUAACUGAGGAAGUGCGACUAAAACUACUUCCCUUGAGUACUGGGGAGGAAGGUGGAAUUCGUAGUGUAGCGGUGAAAUGCGUAGAUAUUAGGAGGAACACCAAUGGCGAAGGCAGCUUUCUGGAGAGUAACUGACGUUGAGGCACGAAAGUGUGGGGAGCAAACAGGAUUAGAUACCCUUGUAGUC